AGAGAGAGACAUGCGCGCAUAUCAAUAAGCGGAGGAAAAGAAACUAACAAGGAUUCCCCUAGUAACGGCGAGUGAAGCGGGAAGAGCUCAAAUUUGAAAUCUUAAAGGGUUUCCCUUUACGAAUUGUAGUUUAAAGAAGUGUUUUCUGUUGAGGUUUUGGUAAAAGUUCCUUGGAAUAGGACAUCAUAGAGGGUGAGAAUCCCGUAUUUGACCUUUACUUUCAACUUUGUGAUACACUUUCAAAGAGUCGGAUUGUUUGGGAAUGCAGUCCAAAAUGGGUGGUAAAUUUCAUCUAAAGCUAAAUAUUGGCGAGAGACCGAUAGCGAACAAGUACCGUGAGGGAAAGAUGAAAAGAACUUUGAAAAGAGAGUUAAACAGUACGUGAAAUUGUCAAAAGGGAAGCGUUUGACACCAGUGUUGCUUUUCUGAAAAUCAAUUAAAGAACUGUUUAUGCUAAGCUGUUUAGACUUUAUCAGCUAAUCUGUUUAGUUUUGAGCUUUUCUUUAAUGCACUUUUCAGUUAACAAGUCAACAUCAAUUUCUUUUGCUGUAAAAAAGCUUGAGGAAGGUGGCUUGAGAUUCGUCUUAAGUGUUUAUAGCCUCUUGCCUAUGCAGUCGGAGAGAUUGAGGUCUGCAGCGUAGAUCCUUCGGGGCUAAAUGCAUUUGUGCUAAGUUAUAGCAUUUUAUAGACAACUUGUUGACUAUGAUUUGUCUUGUAGCUUACUCGCUUAUGUUAUUUUACCUACGCUUAGGAUGUUGACGCAUGAGAUAUACGC
rnacentral:rRNA from 1 species